CGGGCAUUCACUGGCUUGUUCUGCACUGGCCGGCAGGGAGCCCCCCUGGGCACUUGGCCCUCAAGGCACCCACAGUGGACACAGCUUCCUAACUGGGCCCAGGCAGCCAGCUCCCAGAACAGCACGACCCAGGAAGAGCAAAGGGAAGAAGAAAACACGUUUUGCAGAAAAAUUCCAGGAAGGAGGCCGCCCCUGGCUAAAAGUAAUCCGAGGCCUCACUGUUACUUGCCUGGAGGAUCUCUGAGGGCCAGUUCCUUCUGCCCUUACGGACUCUCUGUUCUUGGUGAUCCCCAAACCAGCCCAGCCUGGCUCGCAUCUCUCCCCACACCGCCCCUCCUCUGCUGCUCCCACGGGCAUCCUGGUCUCUCACGGAAAGUGUGCCCUAGCUCUCCCAGCCCCGGGCGGGCUCUUCCUCAGACACCCACUCUCCCCGCUGCCCCGAAUUGGCCUCCAAAAGUAGCUGGGAUCCUGUCAUUCCUGAUGAAACCCCUCACGGUGCCCCUGGGUCCCGUGGGAACGAGACCUGGUCCCUUUGUAGCCAGACAAGGCCUGACCACGCUCCUUCCCCUUCCUGCCCCGGCUUGGGGACAGCACUGUCACCUUCAGGAGGCGCGCUUUCUCACACACUGCCGGGUCUGCCCUGCCUGCCCCACCUCAGCCUCUCCGGCUCCAGUAGCUCUGUCCUCUCAUUUCCUGGGGGCCGCAGAAACCCGUCUGUCCUGACGGACCACGGUGACUUGGUCCUAGUGAUUUCUGAAUCUAGCUGGGGAGAUACUCAGGCCAUGCCCUGACUCAGAAGGCAGUAGUCUGUGUGCAAGCUGUCUCAGAGAAAAUGCUAGUUGUGUGGCACACUGUGGAAAACCAGAGGGGGCCA